CAGUAGCCGCGGGAAAACGGAGGGUGCAAGCGUUAAUCGGAAUUACUGGGCGUAAAGCGCACGCAGGCGGUUUGUUAAGUCAGAUGUGAAAUCCCCGAGCUUAACUUGGGAACUGCAUUUGAAACUGGCAAGCUAGAGUCUUGUAGAGGGGGGUAGAAUUCCAGGUGUAGCGGUGAAAUGCGUAGAGAUCUGGAGGAAUACCGGUGGCGAAGGCGGCCCCCUGGACAAAGAUUGACGCUCAGGUGCGAAAGCGUGGGGAGCAAACAGGAUUAGAUACCCCGGUAGUCCCUGUCUCUUAUAC
rnacentral:rRNA from 1 species